GAGCUCCGCUUUGAACAGGCUUCUGUUCUCACCUUCAUGCAAGUUUUCAGCCUGUUUUUUCGUUGAAAAAAAAAGUCGCCUAAAAUUUAAACACCCUAAUGGAGACCUUUGUGACGUAUCACAACUUAUUGCGUAGAUUUCAACCGAUAACAGAUUGCACACUAAGACUCAUUUAUAAAUCUUUUUCUAAAUUUAAAAUUGCCUCAAAGGUCGCCUGGGGUCCACUAGACUCCAUGUGUCCUCAACGGGUUAAUUAUCCAGAAAGAAGAUGCAAACCACUUAUCGCACAUAAAUUGAUAUAAAAAAUAACAAACGCAGUGGGACAGCGUAUAAAAGCUCGAGAAAAAUAUUCCUGAUGUCAUAUUAUCAAAAACUUUUUCUUUCUACACAAAUAACUCAAUAUUGAAGAAAAUAAAAGCCAUGUUGAAGACAAUAUUACUUAUGUUACUAAUAUACUUCGCGGUUGGAAGUUCAAUUCAUUAUCCGGCAAGAAAAUGCAAACCACUGCACAUAUUUUGUGACAAUAGUUCAGAAUGUUGCUCCAAAGUUUGUGACAUCAAAGAUACAGGCGUAAAAUUAUGUUCAAAGACAGAAAAUAGUUCUUUAACUACUAAUCAACAAGAAAAAUCAACUACACGGCCAUGUAAAGCUUACAAAGUAUCUAAAGCAACAUUUGAUUGCAGUUAAAUUUAUUUAAUAAACAGCUUAUUA